rnacentral:tRNA from 1 species
GGGCGUAUGGCGGAAUUGGUAGACGCGCUAGUUUCAGGUACUAGUGGUAGCAAUACCUUGGAGGUUCGAGUCCUCUUACGCCCACCA